UAUCUGACUCAGGGUACGCAUUUGGAUGGUUGGGUUGGGUAUCGGUGGUCGUCUCGGAUCCUUGAUAGACUUGGAAUGCCCACUACGACAAGGCCCCGGGUCAGUUCGAGUCACUCCAAGUCAUAGGUUAGAUAGUUUUUCUCAUGAGUAUUCAAUUGUCUCAAGGAAUAUGCAAUAUCCUUGUCUUUCUAAUCAACAGAUAAUCAAGAACAAAACCUAAAGUUUAAUAAUGAAAAGUAAUGUCUUCC
rnacentral:lncRNA from 1 species